CCUACGGGAGGCAGCAGUAGGGAAUAUUGCUCAAUGGGGGAAACCCUGAAGCAGCAACGCCGCGUGGAGGAUGAAGGUUUUAGGAUUGUAAACUCCUUUUGUUAGAGAAGAUUAUGACGGUAUCUAACAAAUAAGCCCCGGCUAACUCCGUGCCAGCAGCCGCGGUAAUACGGAGGGUGCAAGCGUUACUCGGAAUCACUGGGCGUAAAGAGUGCGUAGGCGGGGUAAAAAGUCAGAUGUGAAAGCCGGUGGCGUAACAACAGGACUGCAUUUGAAACUGUUACUCUGGAGUGUGGGAGAGGUAAGUGGAAUGCUUGGUGUAGGGGUGAAAUCCGUAGAGAUCAGGAGGAAUACUAGUGGCGAAGGCGACCUGCUGGAACGUUACUGACGCUGAUGCACGAAAGCGUGGGGAGCAAACAGGAUUAGAUACCCCUGUAGUC
rnacentral:rRNA from 1 species